AUUGAACGCUGGCGGCAGGCCUAACACAUGCACGUCGAACGAGUGGCGGACUGGUGAGUAAUGUCUGGGAAACUGCCUGAUGGAGGGGGAUAACUACUGGAACCGGUAUCUAAUACCGCAUACCAUCAGAUGUGCCCAGAUGGGAUUAGCUAGUUGGUGGGGUAACGGCUCACCAAGGCGACGAUCCCUAGCUGGUCUGAGAGGAUGACCAGCCACACUGGAACUGAGACACGGUCCAGACGCCUACGGGAGGCAGCAGUGGGGAAUAUUGAACAAUGGGCGCAAGCCUGAUGCAGCAAUGCCGCGUGUAUGAAGAAGGCCGUCGGGUUGUAAAGUACGUUCAGCGGGGAGGCGUUACCCGCAGAAGAAGCACCGGCUAACUCCGUGCCAGCAGCCGCGGUAAUUC
rnacentral:rRNA from 1 species